CCCUUAGAUGUUCUGGGCUGCACGCGCGCUACACUGAAGCGUUCAACGAGUAUUCACCUUGCCCGGGAGGGUUGGGUAAUCUUUUGAAAACGCUUCGUGAUGGGGAUAGAUUAUUGCAAUUAUUAAUCUUCAACGAGGAAUUCCUAGUAAGCGCGAGUCAUCAGCUCGUGCUGAUUACGUCCCUGCCCUUUGUACACACCGCCCGUCGCUCCUACCGAUUGAGUGGUCCGGUGAGGCUUUGGGAUCUGAGCGGAAAGAGCGUUUCGCUGUUUCUGCUCGGAAAACUCAGUCGAACCUUAUCAUUUAGAGGAAGGAGAAGUCGUAACA
rnacentral:rRNA from 1 species